rnacentral:lncRNA from 1 species
UGGGCCCAGGCUGAUGGGGCAGGGCAUCCCCUGCAGCCGGCCAGGCCAGGAACAGACCCACCGGUCUGUCUCCUGGGUCCUCCAGAGGAGAUCCAUUGGAGACUGCGCCCACCUGUCUCCUUAUCUGUGAUAAUAGGCCGAAUGGGUGGGACUGGAAUAGCUUUGGUUGAUAUUUGUUUUUUUAACCACAGAACCCAGUUCUGAAGCCAUAUGUUUCAAAGCCAAGUUGGUCAAAUAGACCAAGUGAAGGUGCAGGGCUAGGAGCUGAAGCUGGGACCAGGGUGGGUGAGUGUCAGCUGCACAUCUCCGCAUGAACCUACCCUAGAAGAGGGGCCCCGGGCCGCCCCGCAGGACCUGCUGGGGGUAGGUGCCAGGCCAUUGUGGGGGAGAGGGGCAGAGAAGCAGGAGAGGCCUGUCCAGGUGGUCUUGGCUCAGUGUGGCUCCCGGUCCGGCCAGCCCUCCUACUGCCCCCUGCUGGGCCGCCUCCUCCCUCCCUCUCCCCUCCCGAGGCCAUCUGCUUGCUUCAGCCCUGGUCCGCGCUGGCUGUUUUUUCUCUCAGAGCCUCCAAAUGCUGAGCAGAAAUCUGCCUCGUGGAGCUCCCACCCACUGCAGGCUGCCGCUCAUCCCUUUGCCCUCGCCUGCCCACCUCCCUCCUGAGAUGUGUGUUUACUUAGCAACGCGGCUUCCAGCUGAAUCUGAGAAGGGAGGCAGGGAG